AGAUUAUCAAGUAUCAUUAGCAAAAUCCAAUUAGCAGGAAAUUGUGUUCAAAACAAAGUAAGUCCACACUCUAGCUUUGAGCUCCAACCAAGAAUACAUGUCUGGAUGACAAGAAAAUGACACGAAGAAUGAUGAAAAAAGGAAACUUACCUAGACAUGCACCUUAAACCUCUACAACCUGGGGGGAAAGCCACAAAUGCUGGAAUUCCUGUAGGUGAACCAAUAAGUCAAGUUAAAAAGGGUGAAGAGAUGGGGGAAAUCAUGCAUCAGUGUCGGUUAAUCCGUCAAAGCAUAAUGAACUGCAAUUCAAAUUGAUUUUGGCAGACGAGAUAACCCCUAUCAAAAUCGUAACCCAAGGAAAAACAGAGGCAAGUCAUAGAUAAACAUGUAUAUAGUCAAAAUUUAUCAUAUUUUCCUCAAUCUCGGUUCCUUGACCUUAGUGACCGAAUAUUAGACCUAGCGAGCUGAGUGCAGUAGAAGAUUAGUGUAUCGGAAAUCUUCUCCUACCAUUUUUGCUUAAUGCAAAAAUAGAAAUCUUAACUCACUGGGCGCAAAUGUAUAAUUUACACAUUAUAGCAUCUAGGGAAGAAUUAAUCAUGAUAAGACCACUCCACCGACUAUUCAGUUUCAUAUCUCCAGAUCUUCUUACUACUGCAAAGGCAUUUUGCAUUGCCACCUCAUAUGUGCUCUUUUCCAGAUCCGAUGAGCUAUAGUACUUCAAGCCCAUCGUAUCUCUCCUCUAAUGAAGUUAUAGCAAACAUAAUUCAGAACCUAACAGCAGCCAUUAGUGGUUAAAGUGCUGCAGUUAAAUUGCUAAACACCACAUAAAGCUAUCUAAUUCUUUAUUUUUUUUAUUUUAUUUUUUGCAAAAGACAACCAAAAAUCCCAAGUGCCAGAGGCACACGGUUUGAAACUCGGAGGAUAACGGGCCUGCACCUCUACCUUUCUCCACUUAAAUACCAGGCUUAUGUCAGUCUGCACGUAACAGUUAUCUAAUUCUUAUCUCAUUUAGUCCCUAAAAUAUAUAUUUAUUUCAUUGUUAAGUUACCAAUUGAAUCUCACACUUCUGUAUAUGAUUUCAGUGGAAGAAUAAAAUAUCAGCCAUAAAUAUGAAUGCUGUGAAAUGCGUUCCAAGCUUGUAUUUCAGCAGAAUAUGAUCUAACAGCUGCAGUAUUCUGUAGAAGCAUUUUUGAGGAAUGACAGUAAAAUUGACAUUUGUUUAUUAAAGUACUUUCCAUGUCUGAAAAAUGGUAGUCCACCAGGUCCUUUCUCAGCUAGAUAUGUGGCAAGUUGAACAUCAGCAAGAUCAAUAACUCCAGUAUCUGCGACCCCAUCCAGCAAAGUAACUGAAGAGACAAGAUAGAAGAAAUAAAUGGAAAAAAACAAACCACAUAACAUUAGCAGGGUACAAAAGAAAUACACCAAAUAACAUUAGCAAAUUAUAGAUGGGAAAUAAAUGUCUACA
rnacentral:lncRNA from 1 species